GAUGAACGCUGGCGGCGUGCCUAACACAUGCAAGUCGAGCGUGAUUAAAUGGAAUGAAGGGCUUGCCUGGAGUGAAGUUUAUGAAAGCGGCGGACGGGUGAGUAACGCGUGAGCAACCUGCCUCUAACACAGGGAUAGCCACUGGAAACGGUGAUUAAUACCAGAUAAGGGUACAUGACCACAUGGUCGAGUGCUCAAAGAUUUAUCGGUUAGAGAUGGGCUCGCGACUGAUGAGCUAGUUGGUGAGGUAACGGCUCACCAAGGCGACGAUCAGUAGGCGACCGGAGAGGAUGAACGGCCACACCGGAACUGAGAACCGGGCCAGACUCCUACGGGAGGGAGCAGUGGUGAAUAUUGCACAAUGGGCGCAAGCCUGAUGCAGCAACGCCGCGUGAGUGAUGAAGGCCUUCGGGUCGUAGAACUCUGUCCUAGGGGAAGAAAAAAAUGACGGUACCCUGGGAGGAAGCCCCGGCAAACUACGUGCCAGCCGCCGCAGUAACAC
rnacentral:rRNA from 1 species